rnacentral:tRNA from 1 species
UGGUGGACCGCCCAGAACUCGAAUCUGGAAUCUCCCGGUUCGUAGCCGAGCGCCUUAUCCAAUUUGGCCAGCGGUCC